rnacentral:rRNA from 1 species
CACGGAGGGUGCAAGCGUUAUUCGGAAUCACUGGGCGUAAAGAGCGCGUAGGCGGUCUCUUAGGUCAGAUGUGAAAGCCCGGGGCUUAACCCCGGAAGUGCAUUUGAAACUAAGGGACUUGAGUAUGGGAGAGGGAAGUGGAAUUCCUGGUGUAGCGGUGAAAUGCGUAGAUAUCAGGAGGAACACCGGUGGCGAUGGCGACUUCCUGGACCAAUACUGACGCUGAGGCGCGAAGGCGUGGGGAGCAAACAGG